rnacentral:rRNA from 1 species
AAGAUUAAGCCAUGCAUGUCUAAGUAUAAGCAAUUAUACCGUGAAACUGCGAAUGGCUCAUUAAAUCAGUUAUCGUUUAUUUGAUAGUACCUUACUACUUGGAUAACCGUGGUAAUUCUAGAGCUAAUACAUGCUAAAAACCCCGACUUCGGGAGGGGUGUAUUUAUUAGAUAAAAACCAAUGCCCUUCGGGGCUCUUUGGUGAUUCAUGAUAACUUAACGGAUCGCAU